GGCAGUAUUAAAAGCAGCUCCAGGGUUAAGCCCUGGCAUUUCACCUUUAACUUACCGAACCGCCUACAUGCCCUUUACGCCCAAUAAUUCCGAACAACGCUUGCCCCCUCCGUAUUACCGCGGCUGCUGGCACGGAGUUUGCCGGGACUUCUUCUGUAGGUACCGUCAUUAUCUUCCCUACUGAAAGAGUUUUACAACCCUAAGGCCUUCCUCACUCACGCGGCAUAGCUGGAUCAGGCUUGCGCCCAUUGUCCAAUAUUCCCCACUGCUGCCUCCCGUAGGAGUCUGGACCGUAUCUCAGUUCCAGUGUGGCUGAUCAUCCUCUCAGACCAGCUAUAGAUCAUCGCCUUGGUAGGCCUUUACCCUACCAACUAGCUAAUCUAACAUAGGCUCAUCUAAUAGCGAUAAAUCUUUCCCCCGCAGGGAUUAUACAGUAUUACCCACCAUUUCUAGUGGCUAUCCCAUACUACUAGGUAGAUUCCUAUGCAUUACUCACCCGUCUGCCACUAAUUAUUCUUCAUAGCAAGCUAUAAAGAAUAAUCCGUU
rnacentral:rRNA from 1 species